UGCAAGUCGUACGAGAGUUUUUAACUCUAGUGGCGGACGGGUGAGUAACACGYGAGAAUUUACCUUUAGGAGGGGGAUAACAAUUGGAAACGAAUGCUAAUACCCCAUAUGCUUUCGAGUGAAAUGGAUUUAUAUUUAUUCGCCUAAAGAGAAGCUCGCGGCUGAUUAGCUUGUUGGUAAGGUAAGAGCUUACCAAGGCGACGAUCAGUAUCUGGUUUGAGAGGACGAUCAGACACACUGGAACUGAGACACGGUCCAGACUCCUACGGGAGGCAGCAGUGGGGAAUUUUCCGCAAUGGGCGAAAGCCUGACGGAGCAAUACCGCGUGAGGGAAGACUGCCUAUGGGUUGUAAACCUCUUUUUUCAGGGAGGAAUAAAUGACGUGUACCUGAAGAAUAAGCAUCGGCUAACUCCGUGCCAGCAGCCGCGGUAAGACGGAGGAUGCAAGUGUUAUCCGGAAUCACUGGGCGUAAAGCGUCUGUAGGUGGUUUAAUAAGUCAACUGUUAAAUCUUGAGGCUCAACUUCAAAAUCGCAGUCGAAACUAUUAGACUAGAGUAUAGUAGAGGUAAAGGGAAUUUCCAGUGGAGCGGUGAAAUGCGUAGAUAUUGGAAAGAACACCGAUGGCGAAAGCACUUUACUGGGCUAUUACUAACACUCAGAGACGAAAGCUAGGGUAGCAAAUGGGAUUAGAUACCCCAGUAGUCCUAGCCGUAAACUAUGGGAUACUAGAUGUUGAACAGAUCGACCUGUGCAGUAUCAA
rnacentral:rRNA from 1 species